rnacentral:rRNA from 1 species
CCCGUAGGGGGCGAGCGUUGUCCGGAUUUAUUGGGCGUAAAGAGCUCGUAGGCGGUCUGUCGCGUCGGAUGUGAAAACCCAGGGCUCAACCCUGGGCCUGCAUUCGAUACGGGCAGACUAGAGUUCGGUAGGGGAGACUGGAAUUCCUGGUGUAGCGGUGAAAUGCGCAGAUAUCAGGAGGAACAUCGGUGGCGAAGGCGGGUCUCUGGGCCGAAACUGACGCUGAGGAGCGAAAGCGUGGGGAGCAAACAGG